CGGGACGGGUGAGUAAUGUCUGGGAAACUGCCUGAUGGAGGGGGGUAACUACUGGAAACGGUAGCUAAUACCGCAUAACGUCUUCGGACCAAAGUGGGGGACCUUCGGGCCUCACGCCAUCGGAUGUGCCCAGAUGGGAUUAGCUAGUAGGUGGGGUAAUGGCUCACCUAGGCGACGAUCCCUAGCUGGUCUGAGAGGAUGACCAGCCACACUGGAACUGAGACACGGUCCAG
rnacentral:rRNA from 1 species